rnacentral:rRNA from 1 species
UACAGAGGUCUCAAGCGUUGUUCGGAUUCAUUGGGCGUAAAGGGUGCGUAGGUGGCGCCGUAAGUCGGGUGUGAAAUUUCGGAGCUUAACUCCGAAACUGCAUUCGAUACUGCGGUGCUUGAGGACUGGAGAGGAGACUGGAAUUCAUGGUGUAGCAGUGAAAUGCGUAGAGAUCAUGAGGAAGACCAGUGGCGAAGGCGGGUCUCUGGACAGUUCCUGACACUGAGGCACGAAGGCCAGGGGAGCAAACGAG